AUGCUUGAUACCAUCUGAAGCUAUGUACUUCAAGAAGUAUAUGAAGAAAUAUGUGAAAAUUAUCUGAGAGGUAGAUCACUUGUCUAUAAAGUAAUCCGACAAGAUUACCACUGACCAACUGUUUAAAAAGAUGCAGUUGAUCUUAUCAACAAGUACGAUCAAUGUCAGAGAUAUGCUAACAUCUAAUAUCAACAUGUUGCUGAGCUUAUUUCUAUUACCGCCCCUUGCCCCUU
rnacentral:lncRNA from 1 species